rnacentral:lncRNA from 1 species
GCCAUCCUUAGGGUUCAGUACUUUCUUUGAACCCUUAAAAUUUGAUUUCUUUUUAGAGGUUUUACCCACAAGAAGAAGUGGAGCCUUUUCUUUCUUAAUAUGGCUCUCAGCUGUCUUGAGCAUAUUCAACAGCUCAGGCAAGGAGGUAUUCAGUUUGUUCAUGUGAUAGUUCAUGACAAACUGAGCGAACGAUUUGGGA